rnacentral:rRNA from 1 species
AUGCCUUACACAUGCAAGUCGAACGGCAGCACGGGAGCAAUCCUGGUGGCGAGUGGCGAACGGGUGAGUAAUAUAUCGGAACGUGCCCAGUCGUGGGGGAUAACGUAGAGAAAUUUACGCUAAUACCGCAUACGAUCUACGGAUGAAAGCGGGGGACUCGCAAGAGCCUCGCGCGACUGGAGCGGCUGAUAUCAGAUUAGGUUGUUGGUGAGGUAAAAGCUCACCAAGCCGACGAUCUGUAGCUGGUUUGAGAGAACGACCAGCCACACUGGGACUGAGACACGGCCCAGACUCCUACGGGAGGCAGCAGUGGGGAAUUUUGGACAAUGGGCGCAAGCCUGAUCCAGCAAUGCCGCGUGCAGGAAGAAGGCCUUCGGGUUGUAAACUGCUUUUGUACGGAACGAAAAGGUCCUUUCUAAUACAAGGGGCUAAUGACGGUACCGUAAGAAUAAGCACCGGCUAACUACGUGCCAGCAGCCGCGGUAAUACGUAGGGUGCGAGCGUUAAUCGGAAUUACUGGGCGUAAAGCGUGCGCAGGCGGUUAUGUAAGACAGUUGUGAAAUCCCCGGGCUCAACCUGGGAAUUGCAUCUGUGACUGCAUAGCUAGAGUACGGUAGAGGGGGAUGGAAUUCCGCGUGUAGCAGUGAAAUGCGUAG